GUGAUGGAUAAUUUGAAUGAGGAAAAUGCAGCCAUUUUACAAAAACUAAAUAUUUCAAAUCGUUAACCGUAAUAUAUUCUUAGUAUAAAACAGUUUGCCAUGCAAAUGAAGACAAAAAAUCGGAUCACAAAAGGAAAUUUUAAAUUGUCUUUGUUAGGUUAUUUGUUGACUGUGAUAAACCGGCAUCAGGUCAGAUACACCUCAUUGAUAUAUUGUUUAUGCUAUGCCAUAGAAACAGCAGGAAGUGUUAUGCUGAUUGAGUUGUAUACAUAUAUGUUUAUAUCUUACAGUUGUGAAAAUAAAGGGGUAUUUCAUA